rnacentral:rRNA from 2 species
GACCUGCGGAGGAUCACUA